UUUCCAGGAGUCCAGUCAUCCUCGAGUCAAGAUGAGCCUAGAAUUCAUAAGCAACCAAGAGGCCCAUUUGCUCCAAGCAUCGACAGAACAAAAAAGCCGACAGUGAUAUUACCUCCCCAACCAAACACAGGAACAUCUAGUGUUAUAGG